ensembl:snoRNA small nucleolar RNA, C/D box 23
UGCCUGAUGAAGAGACGCAUCCUUGCUCGCCUGAGCCCUACCCUGAUAGUGGUUUGGGGUAAUAGGUGACACCAUGGCUCCCCUAGGAAGGUCUGGAUUGGCCUAUGCCUGGGGGCUGAGGGCA